rnacentral:rRNA from 1 species
UACGUAGGUGGCAAGCGUUGUCCGGAAUUAUUGGGCGUAAAGCGCGCGCAGGCGGUCCCUUAAGUCUGAUGUGAAAGCCCACGGCUCAACCGUGGAGGGUCAUUGGAAACUGGCAGGCUAGAGUGCGGGAGAGGAGAGUGGAAUUCCUGGUGUAGCGGUGAAAUGCGUAGAUAUCGGGUAGAACACCAGUGGCGAAGGCGGCUAUCUGGACGGACACUGACGCUGAGACGCGAAAGCGUGGGGAGCAAACAGG